GAAGCUAAGUCAGUAGAGCAUGAGACUCUUAAUCUCAGGGUCGUGGGUUCGAGCCUCACAUCG
rnacentral:tRNA from 1 species